UACGUAGGUGGCAAGCGUUGUCCGAUUAUCUGGGCGUAAAGAGCGCGCAGGCGGUCGAUCAAGUCGCGUGUGAAAGCCCCCGGCUCAACUGGGGAGGGUCACGCGAUACUGAUCGACUCGAAGGCAGGAGAGGGAAGCGGAAUUCCCGGUGUAGUGGUGAAAUGCGUAGAUAUCGGGAGGGACACCAGUGGCGAAGGCGGCUUCCUGGCCUGUUCUUGACGCUGAGGCGCGAAAGCUAGGGGAGCAAACGGG
rnacentral:rRNA from 1 species